GGGUGACUGCGUACCUUUUGUAUAAUGGGUCAGCGACUUAUAUUCUGUAGCAAGGUUAACCGGAUAGGGGAGCCGCAGGGAAACCGAGUCUUAACUGGGCGAAUGAGUUGCAGGGUAUAGACCCGAAACCCGGUGAGCUAGCCAUGGGCAGGUUGAAGGUUGGGUAACACUAACUGGAGGACCGAACCGACUAAUGUUGAAAAAUUAGCGGAUGACUUGUGGCUGGGGGUGAAAGGCCAAUCAAACCGGGAGAUAGCUGGUUCUCCCCGAAAGCUAUUUAGGUAGCGCCUCGUGAAUUCAUCUUCGGGGGUAGAGCACUGUUUCGGCUAGGGGGCCAUCCCGGCUUACCAACCCGAUGCAAACUGCGAAUACCGAAGAAUGGUAUCACGGGAGACACACGGCGGGUGCUAACGUCCGUCGUGAAGAGGGAAACAACCCAGACCGCCAGCUAAGGUCCCGAAGUCAUGGUUAAGUGGGAAACGAUGUGGGAAGGCCCAGACAGCCAGGAUGUUGGCUUAGAAGCAGCCAUCAUUGAAAGAAAGCGUAAUAGCUCACUGGUCGAGUCGGCCUGCGCGGAAGAUAUAACGGGGCUAAACCAUGCACCGAAGCUGCGGCAUUCAGAGGACAGAUUUCAGAAGACAGAGGACGGAAUGAUGUCAUAUGGAUUCGAACAAUUGGACGUGUUUAAGAAAGCUUAUCGAAUUUCGUUAGAAAUUCAUCAGGUGAGUUUGACAUUUCCUCAGUACGAAUAAUAUGGAUUAGCGGACCAGGUCAGGCGGGCAAGUAAGGGCAUUUGUGCCAACCUUGCCGAGGGCUUUGGUAAGCAGCAUUAUUCCAAACCCGAGUUCAGGCGUUUCAUUAGUAUAGCCUUAGGCAGUGCCGAUGAGAUGCGUGUAUGGUUAAGAUAUUGUCUGGAUUUGGGCUAUAUCAAUCGGGUUCAGUGGCAGGAAUAGCGCGAUGGCUAUGAAGAGAUAGCAAAAAUGCUGACUGGACUGGGGCGCCGUCUGUAAGCUGUAUUCUGACGUCUGUUCUCUGAAUGGGUAGGGGAGCGUUCUGUAAGCCGCUGAAGGUGGUGCCGUGAGGCCUGCUGGAGGUAUCAGAAGUGCGAAUGCUGACAUAAGUAACGAUAAAGCGGGUGAAAAACCCGCUCGCCGGAAGACCAAGGGUUCCUGUCCAACGUUAAUCGGGGCAGGGUGAGUCGACCCCUAAGGCGAGGCCGAACGGCGUAGCUGAUGGGAAACAGGUUAAUAUUCCUGUACUGAAUGUGACUGCGAAGGGGGGACGGAGAAGGCUAGGCCAUCCGGGCGACGGUUGUCCCGGUUUAAGCGUGUAGGUGGGAGGAGCAGGCAAAUCCGCUCUUCUUUAAACACUGAGGCGUGAUGACGAGCCGCUACGGCGGUGAAGUGGUUGAUGCCCGGCUUCCAGGAAAAGCCUCUAAGCACCAGGUGACAUUGAAUCGUACCCCAAACCGACACAGGUGGUCAGGUAGAGAAUACUCAGGCGCUUGAGAGAACUCGGGUGAAGGAACUAGGCAAAAUGGUGCCGUAACUUCGGGAGAAGGCACGCUGGCGUUAGGUGAAGGGGCUUGCCCCCGGAGCUGAAGCCAGUCGCAGAGACCAGCUGGCUGCAACUGUUUAUUAAAAACACAGCACUGUGCCAACACGUAAGUGGACGUAUACGGUGUGACGCCUGCCCGGUGCUGGAAGGUUAAUUGAUGGGGUUAGCCGCAAGGCGACGCUCUUGAUCGAAGCCCCAGUAAACGGCGGCCGUAACUAUAACGGUCCUAAGGUAGCGAAAUUCCUUGUCGGGUAAGUUCCGACCUGCACGAAUGGCGUAAUGAUGGCCAGGCUGUCUCCACCCGAGACUCAGUGAAAUUGAACUCGCUGUGAAGAUGCAGUGU
rnacentral:rRNA from 1 species